rnacentral:rRNA from 2 species
GACGAACGCUGSCGGCGUGCCUAAUACAUGCAAGUCGAACGAACUCUGGUAUUGAUUGGUGCUUGCAUCAUGAUUUACAUUUGAGUGAGUGGCGAACUGGUGAGUAACACGUGGGAAACCUGCCCAGAAGCGGGGGAUAACACCUGGAAACAGAUGCUAAUACCGCAUAACAACUUGGACCGCAUGGUCCGAGCUUGAAAGAUGGCUUCGGCUAUCACUUUUGGAUGGUCCCGCGGCGUAUUAGCUAGAUGGUGGGGUAACGGCUCACCAUGGCAAUGAUACGUAGCCGACCUGAGAGGGUAAUCGGCCACAUUGGGACUGAGACACGGCCCAAACUCCUACGGGAGGCAGCAGUAGGGAAUCUUCCACAAUGGACGAAAGUCUGAUGGAGCAACGCCGCGUGAGUGAAGAAGGGUUUCGGCUCGUAAAACUCUGUUGUUAAAGAAGAACAUAUCUGAGAGUAACUGUUCAGGUAUUGACGGUAUUUAACCAGAAAGCCACGGCUAACUACGUGCCAGCAGCCGCGGUAAUACGUAGGUGGCAAGCGUUGUCCGGAUUUAUUGGGCGUAAAGCGAGCGCAGGCGGUUUUUUAAGUCUGAUGUGAAAGCCUUCGGCUCAACCGAAGAAGUGCAUCGGAAACUGGGAAACUUGAGUGCAGAAGAGGACAGUGGAACUCCAUGUGUAGCGGUGAAAUGCGUAGAUAUAAGGAAGAACACCAGUGGCGAAGGCGGCUGUCUGGUCUGUAACUGACGCUGAGGCUCGAAAGUAUGGGUAGCAAACAGGAUUAGAUACCCUGGUAGUCCAUUCCGUAAACGAUGAAUGCUAAGUGUUGGAGGGUUUCCGCCCUUCAGUGCUGCAGCUAACGCAUUAAGCAUUCCGCCUGGGGAGUACGGCCGCAAGGCUGAAACUCAAAGGAAUUGACGGGGCCCCGCACAAGCGGUGGAGCAUGUGGUUUAAUUCGAAGCUACGCGAAGAACCUUACCAGGUCUUGACAUACUAUGCAAAUCUAAGAGAUUAGACGUUCCCUUCGGGGACAUGGAUACAGGUGGUGCAUGGUUGUCGUCAGCUCGUGUCGUGAGAUGUUGGGUUAAGUCCCGCAACGAGCGCAACCCUUAUUAUCAGUUGCCAGCAUUAAGUUGGGCACUCUGGUGAGACUGCCGGUGACAAACCGGAGGAAGGUGGGGAUGACGUCAAAUCAUCAUGCCCCUUAUGACCUGGGCUACACACGUGCUACAAUGGAUGGUACAACGAGUUGCGAACUCGCGAGAGUAAGCUAAUCUCUUAAAGCCAUUCUCAGUUCGGAUUGUAGGCUGCAACUCGCCUACAUGAAGUCGGAAUCGCUAGUAAUCGCGGAUCAGCAUGCCGCGGUGAAUACGUUCCCGGGCCUUGUACACACCGCCCGUCACACCAUGAGAGUUUGUAACACCCAAAGUCGGUGGGGUAACCUUUUAGGAACCAGCCGCCUAAGGUGGGACAGAUGAUUAGGGUGAAGUCGUAACAAGGUAGC